UACAUAGGGGGCAAGCGUUGUCCGGAAUCAUUGGGCGUAAAGAGCGUGUAGGCGGCCCGAUAAGUCCGCUGUGAAAGUCCAGGGCUCAACCCUGGGAUGCCGGUGGAUACUGUCGGGCUCGAGUCCGGAAGAGGAGUGUGGAAUUCCUGGUGUAGCGGUGAAAUGCGCAGAUAUCAGGAGGAACACCAAUGGCGAAGGCAGCACUCUGGGACGUGACUGACGCUGAGACGCGAAAGCGUGGGGAGCAAACAGG
rnacentral:rRNA from 1 species